rnacentral:rRNA from 1 species
AUACGUAGGGUGCGAGCGUUGUCCGGAAUUACUGGGCGUAAAGAGCUCGUAGGUGGUUUGUCGCGUCGUCUGUGAAAUUCCGGGGCUUAACUCCGGGCGUGCAGGCGAUACGGGCAUAACUUGAGUACUGUAGGGGAGACUGGAAUUCCUGGUGUAGCGGUGAAAUGCGCAGAUAUCAGGAGGAACACCGGUGGCGAAGGCGGUUCUCUGGGCAGUAACUGACGCUGGGGAGCGAAAGCAUGGGUAGCGAACAGGAUUAGAUACCCUGGUAGUCCAUGCCGUAAACGGUGGGCGCUAGGUGUAGGGGUCUUCCACGACUUCUGUGCCGUAGCUAACGCAUUAAGCGCCCCGCCUGGGGAGUACGGCCGCAAGGCUAAAACUCAAAGGAAUUGACGGGG